GCAAGUAUAGUUUAAAUAAAACACUAGAUUGUGAUUCUAGGAAUAGAAGUUAAACCCUUCUUACCCGCC
rnacentral:tRNA from 1 species